UACGUAGGGUGCGAGCGUUAAUCGGAAUUACUGGGCGUAAAGCGUGCGUAGGCGGUUUCAUAAGCUUGAUGUGAAAGCCCCGGGCUCAACCUGGGAAUGGCAUUGAGGACUGUGGAGCUAGAGUGCGGCAGAGGGAGGUGGAAUUCCACGUGUAGCAGUGAAAUGCGUAGAGAUGUGGAGGAACACCGAUGGCGAAGGCAGCCUCCUGGGCCGACACUGACGCUGAGGGCACGAAGCGUGGGAGCAAACAGG
rnacentral:rRNA from 1 species